rnacentral:rRNA from 1 species
UACGUAGGGUGCGAGCGUUGUCCGGAAUUACUGGGCGUAAAGAGCUCGUAGGUGGUUUGUCGCGUUGUCCGUGAAAACUCACAACUCAAUUGUGGGCGUGCGGGCGAUACGGGCAGACUGGAGUACUGCAGGGGGAGACUGGAAUUCCUGGUGUAGCGGUGGAAUGCGCAGAUAUCAGGAGGAACACCCGUGGCGAAGGCGGCUCUCUGGGACGGUACUGACGGCUGAGACGGCGAAAGCGUGGGGAGCGAACAGG